AGAGCUCAAAGCAACCGUUCAAAGAAAAGUGCGAGAAGCUGAAAACAAACUUCGAAGAAAACCUGGCCGAUAAAAAGAGCUUAAAAGCGUUGUUUGGUUACGUCAGAUCUAAGAAAAACCGAACACAACAAAUAGGACUGAUCCUUGAUGCCGAAGGAAAACUCCAUGCAACACAAGCGAGAUCGCCGAGAUCCUGAAUAACUUCUUUAGUAAUGUGUUUUCCCCGGCCUCAGGGUGCAGUGAGGUUGCUUGCGAGUAAGAUCCUCCAACCAUGGGUUGGUCCAAUUUCAUAAUCAAGAUGUCUGUGAUAAACUGGAGAAGUUGAAGAACUCAACGUCGUCUGGACCGGAUGGAAUUCCGCCUGUUGUCCUGAAAUACCUUCCCAAAUCUGUGGUAUCUCCACUCGCUUACAUUUUUAAUCUUUCCUUGACGUCUGGUGAACUGCCUGUCGAGUGGAAGUCAGCAAACGUAACGUAUUUCCACUACGCAAAUCGGGGGACGUAAAAUCGCCCAACUACCGACGUAUUUCUCUAACGCGCGUUUCCUCUAAAGUCAUAGAGUCUAUAAUCAAAGACAACGUGGUAAGAUACCUAGAGAAGAGUUCCUUCUUUUCACCAGACCAACACGGCUUCCGCAAGGGAAUAUCGUGCACCACCAACCUCCUCCUUUUCCAAGAUACUAUUUCGGAAGCACUUGAGGUGGGAAAGCGUACGAACGCAAUACAUGUUGACUUUGCUAAAGCCUUUGAUAAGGUGAACCACGAUAUUCUCUUAAAUAAGUUCCGUAGAUCUUGAAUCGUAGGGAGUGUUGGGACCUGGAUUGGAGAGUGGCUCCGGGGCAGACUAUAACGUGUAACCUUGAAAGGAUCUGCUUCGGGGUGGGUCGGUCUCUCUUCGGGCGUUCCACAGGGAAGCGUUCUGGGACCAAUUCUCUUCUUGGUUUUCAUCAAUGACAUGGGAUCGUCAAUCGGUCCGAAUGGGUCCGCAGUUUGGAAGUUUGAGGAUGAUGCAAAAAUAGCUAGAGUGAUCAAUACACAUUUGGAUGAGCUCAUUCUUCAACGAGACCUUGAUGAGAUGACAAGAUGGGCUUCCAGGAAUUUAAUGUGACAAAGUGCAAAAUAUUAAGGUUCGGAAAUGGAUCAGUGGCUCAAUGGUGACCAUACACCAUAAAUAACGUCGCCAUUGACGAGGUGACAUCCCAUAGAGACUUGAGAGUAACCUUUGACAACAAGCUUUCGUUCGACUUUGGUUCUUCUUUAGUCGAGUCCCCGCAAUGUGGAAUCGUCUACCCAUCCAAGUGCGCCAGACGUCCUCACUCCAAUCGACGCUUAACGAGGGCUAACUCGAGCCCUUGAUGUUCACACUUAAUGCCACAGUUAUCUUGAUCUUGUCUUUUUCUCUCCUUUGAUUUUUAUUCAUUGACCCCUUUUACAAUAAAUACCGUAUACUCUU